rnacentral:rRNA from 1 species
AUUGAACGCUGGCGGCAUGCCUUACACAUGCAAGUCGAACGGCAGCGCGGGGCAACCUGGCGGCGAGUGGCGAACGGGUGAGUAACAUAUCGGAACAUACCCUAGAGUGGGGGAUAACGUAGCGAAAGUUACGCUAAUACCGCAUACGCACUAAGGUGGAAAGUGGGGGAUCUUCGGACCUCAUGCUCAUGGAGUGGCCGAUAUCUGAUUAGCUAGUUGGUGAGGUAAAGGCUCACCAAGGCGACGAUCAGUAGCUGGUUUGAGAGAACGACCAGCCACACUGGAACUGAGACACGGUCCAGACUCCUACGGAGGCAGCAGUGGGGAUAUUGGACAAUGGGCGAAAGCCUGAUCCAGCAAUGCCGCGUGAGUGAUGAAGGCCUUAGGUUGUAAAGCUCUUUACCCGAGAUGAUAAUGACAGUAUCGGAGAAUAAGAC